GCACUAGCGGUUUAGUGGUAGAACAGCACUUUGCUGCGGUACAGAGCCGGGUUCGAUUGGAGGCUGGUGCA
rnacentral:tRNA from 1 species